rnacentral:rRNA from 1 species
AUGGCGGCAAGAAGGCUCCUCGAGGAGGCGGUCGCCGCCGGCGCGCAGCAGGACUCGCUCAACUCGGACCUGGUCCUCAUCCUCGCCGGCCUGCUCUGCGCGCUGGUCUGCGUCCUCGGCCUCGGCCUCGUGGCGCGGUGCGCGUGCUCGCGCCGCUGGGCCAGGGCCGCAGACGCCCCGCCCGGCGCCAACAGGGGCGUCAAGAAGGAGGUGCUGCGCGCCCUGCCCACCGUCAGGUACGUCGCCGACGGCGGCGAGGCGUCGGAGUCGGACGAGUGCGCCAUCUGCCUCGCCGAGUUCGAGGACGGCCAGGACAUGCGGGUGCUGCCGCAGUGCAGCCACGCGUUCCACACGGCCUGCGUCGACGCCUGGCUGCGCUCGCACUCCUCGUGCCCGUCGUGCCGGCGGGUGCUCGUCGCCGAGCUGCCGCGCGGCGAGCGGAGCGGACGCUGCGGCGCGCGGCCCGGCGGCCUCGACGCGCUCCUCAAGGCCGUGCCGCUGUGCCGCUGA